rnacentral:rRNA from 1 species
GACGUAGGUGGAAAGAGAGGAAAGGAAGAAUUGGGCGUAAAGCGCGCGCAGGCGGUUCCUUAAGUCUGAUGUGAAAGCCCACGGCUCAACCGGGGAGGGUCAUUGGAAACUGGGGGACUUGAGUGCAGAAGAGGAGAGCGGAAUUCCACGUGUAGCGGUGAAAUGCGUAGAGAUGUGGAGGAACACCAGUGGCGAAGGCGGCUCUCUGGUCUGUAACUGACGCUGAGGCGCGAAAGCGUGGGGAGCAAACAGA